UGGUCUGAGGAAAAAAAACACAAAACUUCAACUGCUUUAUCCUGCACUUUUAACCUUAUCGUUCCCUCUGGCUUCUGUAUUUCCAUCUCUCCCCAGAUUCUACAUAAGAUUAUCUCAACAGAAAACUUCAAGAAGUUAAAUGUGUUCAGUGAAGUGUCAUCUGUAUUUCUAUCUGUAGCUGGCUGUCCACAUGUAGCUCCUCUCCCUUUUCCUCUAUUCUGCGUGCUUCCCUUUCAGGUGAAGCACUGAGCACAGGGAUGUCCAAAAAGUGAACACCAGACAUGGCUUGACUGGCAGGCAGUGCUGGCCUUGGAAGCCUGCAGGGCACACAUGCUUGAGAAGCACAGACAGAGACAGUGCUCCUCACCUGCUCUGCCGCGAGCGCGUCACCAUAGUUCUCCAAGAAGUUCCCCACGAUGACAGAGCCCACAAUCGUGAGUCCCUUUCCUGCCUUGAGCUGGGAGGCAAAGGUGAGGAGGCGAGGGUGCUUGACGUGUAAAUCUUCAUCCAGCUUCAGUAGGACGAGCAGCUGAGGCCUGGGAAGAUGUGAGUGAGAAGGGGUGGGUGUGGGAAACUGAUGGCAUCUCCAUCCUUUACCUCAGGAGGGCCACAAAGCAUUCAACUUUGACAGAAGAAUGGAAUCAGUGGAAUGGUAAGAUGAGGGUUCUUGGGUACUUUGAAUGUUCUCAGUAUUAGCUAAAACUGACCAAUAUUCACAGAGUAACAACAAUAGAUAUAAGAGUAAGAAAGGCAGUAAGGUUAGGGGAUAGUUCAACAGUUCCUUGAGCCACAUCAUUUCUUUAUCUGGUGAUCAGCAGAGUACAGCUGUGUGUUAACUAUGGGCACACACGACUAAGCUCUGCUUUGUGACUGCUUUACCUCCAGUUUUUAGUGUGAGGAGGUCCUUCCUCUAGACGGAGCAAAGCGAAGCGGGCUGCACUGAGCGACAGCCCACGGAUACCAUCCCCCCAUUCUUUCUCAGCCCUUGGGAGAAAAAGAAAAAAGAGGGAUAGUCAGUUUACAUUAUAGUGAGUACAAGUUCAAAAAAUAAAACCCAGGAUUCUCUAAAUCUAGCAGUAAAGUAUGUACAAGGUAGAAGAUUAAAACUCAGGCUUGUGGUUUAUCUGUUGUCCCCCACUAGCGUGAGGAACACACUGUGAGAUGGACUGCCCUACAGAGGGGUUCACAAUACAGGCUGCCAGGGUUACUCACUUAACCCUGUGUGGAUCUAUUCAAAAGUAACUAUUUGGAACAGCAAUUCAGAUUCAGAAAUUACUUGUAAUUGUGAUUUUCAAAAUAAUGGAAGUAAAGCCAAAGCAAUCUGAGUCAGAAGAUAAUUCAUUCCCAGUUUUGGAGGCUGCUGGAGGUUUUGGUUAUUUCAGGGUUAAUUGUAUUUCAGAUGAUCCCCUGCUUGAGACAGCUAAGCUGUUUAUAUUUGGGUUAUACUUUUAGAGCGUUAUUUAUGUAUAUGUGUGGAUAUGCUCAUGGAUGUUCAUGUGUCUCUAGAGAUCAAAACAGGUGCCAGAUCCCCUGGGGUUGGGGUUACAUGUGGAUUGAGAGCUGCUGGGUAAGUUCUGGGAGCCAAACUAUGGUCCUGUGGAGGGACAGCAAGUGCUACUAACCACACUGGGCUAUCAUAUCUCCAGCCCAGCAUUUCUUUUUUUCCUUUUUGGUGUGGGAGAAUCUUGAUAUGGAGCCCAGCCUUGUACUUGCAACUUUCCUGCUUCAGCCUCCUGUCUACUGUGACAACAUGCAUGGCCAAACCAGCCAUUCUUUUUUUUUUUUUUUUUUCUUAAAGAUUUUAUUUAUUUUAUGUGUGUGAGUACACUGUCACUGUCCUCAGACAUACCAGGAGAGGGCAUCGGAUCCCAUUACACAUAAUUUCAAGCCACCAAGUGGUUGCUGGAAAUUGAACUCAGGACCUCUGGAAGAGCAGUCAGUGCUCCAACUGCUGAGCCAUCUCUCCAGCCCCAAACUAGCCAUUCUUGAUUGCCCCAUUCAGCAGUGAUGGGGUAAAAUUCAAACUUACCCUUGAUAUUCAAUGUACUUGUAGAUCAUGCCAGCUAUUACCAUAGCUACAAUGGCAUAAUACCAAGAAGAAAUGAACAUCAGAGCUAGACAGAUACUCAUUCCCAUGAAAGAGAGGGCCCUAGAAAAUGAAAAUCAUAAUUAUAAACCAAGAAGUAUCUGAAGAAGCAAGGACUGACACCAGUUUGAGGGGUGCUUCCUAGACUAUGGUGGGGAUUGUUUUUAAUAUGUAUAUAUAAAUAAAUUAAUAUAAGAUAUAAUAGAUAUCAAUGUAUGUUAUAUAUUAUAUGUUUAUAUUUCAUUAAUAUAACAUACAAGGCACAAUUAUAUAAAAUAUGAUUAAUAUAACAAAUUAUAUUACUAUAUUAAAAUUAUAUUAUACAUUAUAUAAUCAAUGAUGCGUUUAUAUAUCAUAUUAAUAUAAAUAUAAUACAUGCUAAUAUACAUUAUAAUAUACUGAUAUAUAAGUGUUGUUAUUACAUACUAAUUUCCAGUUAAUUACAGACACAACUUGUGUUAAAUCUAAAUGAAAAUUGUUAUUAAAAAAUUCCUCAUAUGUUUGCUGUAGCAAGGACUCUUACUGUUUUUCUUCCUAGUGCUGUGGCUCAAACUCAAUGCCUUGUUCAUGUAGGCAGGCCAACUAUUACUGAGCCUUCACGCCAGCCCAUGUGGGGUAAAGCCUAGGCCUUCCUGUUUCUAGGCAAUCAUGAACUAUGAAGAGGAUGCUACAGUGCUGUUUGCCUCAAGGACAAUUAGUACUUAUGUGGAAAAGCAGAGAUUGAAUACCAUCAGGAAUCUUAAAUGUGGUAUUAAAUAUUUUUCUUAUGCCUGGAGGCUACAAGAGGAUGCAGAAUGCCCAAAACUGCAGGGAGCUACCAGGGAGGUGCUGGCAACUCAACCUGGGUCCUCUGAAAAAGCAGCAAGUGCUCUUAAGCACUGAGCCGUUUCUCCAGCCUCAAGAGGUCCAUAAUCUUCACUUGUUAGCAUUAUGCAUACUUUGCAUGUUUCUAUCUACUUAAAACAGUUUUAUAUCAUCCAUUAUUCUACUAUUGAUAUUCUUCAUUAAUUUAUUCACUUUACAUCCCAACUGCAGCCCCCUCCUACAAGUAUUCUAUAAUUUGAAAUACUGUAAUUAAUAUCAUUAUGAACACAUAUUCAAUGAAACAUAAGAUAUUUUUCCUUGAGGCAGAUUCCUAAGAAUUGCAAAAAUUAAUAUAUUUAAACAUUUUGAUUUGUUCAAGUUAAUUUUGUGUCCAGCCACUUUGCUGAGGUUGUUUAUUUGCUCCUACAGGAGUUCUCUCGUGGAUUUUUUUGGGUCACUUAUGUAUAUUAUCAUAUCAUCUGCAAAUAGUGAUAUCUUCCUCCUUUCCAGUUUGUAUCCCGUUGACCUCCUUUUGUUGUCUAAUUGCUCUUGCUAGAACUUCGAGUACUAUAUUGAAUAGAUAGGGAGAGAGUGGGCACCCUUGUCUUGUCUCUGAUUUUAGUGGGAUUGCUUCAAGUUUCUCCCCAUUUAGUUUGAUGCUGGCUAUUGGCUUGCUGUGAUAUUGCUUACAUUAUAUUUAGGUAUGCACCUUGUACAUACUGAUGGGACCACUGAACAGUGAGAAGUAGAUAAGAGUCCCAGGGCUUAAAAAUGAUUUGGAUCAUGGAUGAAAAUGAGGGGAAACACCUAGGGUAGAAAGAUACUUACAUUCCUAGUGAAAGGGACUGAAGUGGAAAAUGUAAGAAUUAGCAGCUUUCAGGGAGAGAUCCACAAAUAUCUCACAAAACAUAUGAGAGAGAAAAGAAGUAAUAAAUACUAAGUAGCCUUCAUGAAGAAAGUUAGUUUCCAAUUCACUCAGAAUGCCCAAGUGUUAAUAAAUAGAUGCCUCUCUCUUGUAGAGCAGAUGCUGGAGCUAUGAAAUAGUUUCUUUAACGUGAUCUACCUUUGUACAACUUUCUAGCAAUUCUUGGUGUACAAAGAAGUAUUUAUUAGUAUUCUGACAACUUUAUGUGGUUUUAUGGAGGAAGGAGCUACUUUGUUGUAUUUUACAAAAUAUCAUUGGUCCUUAUUAUGUACUAUAUUUACUGCUUGAGGCAGUAGGAGUCUUUAAUCCCAGAAAUUUGAGGUUAGCUUGAGAAACAUUGCAAAAAAAAAAAAAAAAUCACAUUAUCAUAGGCUAAAUUAUGCACAUAUAUUUUAAUCCCCUUUUCAAACGUUUUUUUGCUAAAAUCAAAUCUAGGGGUGUUGUAUGUGCUAUACAAGCUCAUAUAUACAUACAUAUAUAUAUACAUAUAUGUAUAUGUAUGUAUAUAUAGUAUCUACAUAUGUGUGUGUAUAUAUACACACACAUUUUAGAUCAAUGUAUACAUUUUCUAUUUUAUUAGUUAUAACCUGGUUUCUUGAUAUGUGUUGACACUAGUGACAAAAUGUCAUAGAAGAAGACAUAUGGUUGUUACACAUACUUGUCUCUGAGAACGACUCCUUCAAUACAUGCACCAAAAAGGACAACAUUGCUUAAAUCUGUUAUGCUGACAGUCAAGGAAAUUAUUGUUGUCUUUUGGUUUUAUGUAAUAACUACACUAUCAGUAAAUGAGUUGCUAGAUUCAUUACUUCUAUAAAAUGCUUUAACAAUGCUUAUGAAGCAGGCCAACUAUCUGGCAACUUAAGUGGUACUAAGAGAUGGCAUUACUAUUAGAUGAAAGUACUGAUCAUCCUAGUUCUAUUGCAUGAUCCCAUACCAUAACUCAAACCAAGUUCACAAAAAGGAUACACACAA